rnacentral:rRNA from 1 species
GUAGGGAAUAUUGGGCAAUGGUCGGAAGACUGACCCAGCCAUGCCGCGUGCAGGAAGACGGCCCUCUGGGUUGUAAACUGCUUUUAUCUGGGAAGAAAAAGGCCAUGCGUGGCAAAUUGCCGGUACCAGAUGAAUAAGCACCGGCUAACUCCGUGCCAGCAGCCGCGGUAAUACGGAGGGUGCGAGCGUUGUCCGGAUUUAUUGGGUUUAAAGGGUGCGUAGGCGGCUGAUUAAGUCAGCGGUUAAAGACUUCGGCUUAACCGGAGCAGUGCCGUUGAUACUGGUUGGCUUGAGUGUCGGAGGGGUACAUGGAAUUGAUGGUGUAGCGGUGAAAUGCAUAGAUACCAUCAGGAACACCGAUAGCGAAGGCAUUGUACUGGCCGACAACUGACGCUGAUGCACGAAAGUGUGGGGAUCGAACAGGAUUAGAAACCCGUGUAGUCC